UUGGUAGAGGAGCAUUGUUAGCGGAACGAAGCCAUACCGGAAGGAGUGGUGGACUGCUAAGAAGAGAGAAUGCCGGAAUGAGUAGCGAGAUUGAAGUGAGAAUCUUCAAGGCCGAAUAUCUAAGGUUUCCAGGGUAAAGCUGAUCUGCCCUGGGUAAGUCGGGGCCUAAGGCGAGGUCGAAAGACGUAGCCGAUGGACAACAGGUUGAAAUUCCUGUACUGCGAUAUAUCAGAAAUGUGGGGACACAGAAGGAAAGUGUGAGCCGGGAAAGGAAAGACCGGUGCAAGCACAGGAGGAGAGAUACAGGCAAAUCCGUAUUUCAAUCCAAUGGUGUUACGCGGAGCGAACAAAAGUAGCGAAGCACACAGACCAUCUGUCGAGAAAAGCCGCUAUUGUGUAUACCGUACCCGUACCGUAAAUCGACACAGGUGGAUGAGGAGAGAAUCCUAAGGCCGGCGGGAGAAGCAUUGUUAAGGAACUCGGCAAAAUGACCCCGUAACUUCGGGAGAAGGGGUGCUCACGCGAGUGAGCCGCAGAGAACUGGCCCAAGCAACUGUUUAGCAAAAACACAGGUCUAUGCGAAACCGAAAGGUGAGGUAUAUGGGCUGACGCCUGCCCGGUGCUGGAAGGUUAAGGGGAGAGGUUAGCGCAAGCGAAGCUUUGAACUUAAGCCCCAGUAAACGGCGGCCGUAACUAUAACGGUCCUAAGGUAGCGAAAUUCCUUGUCGGGUAAGUUCCGACCCGCACGAAAGGCGUAAUGAUUUGGGCACUGUCUCAACAAUGCACCCGGUGAAAUUGAAAUACCAGUGAAGAUGCUGGUUACCUGCGCCAGGACGGAAAGACCCCAUGGAGCUUUACUCUAGCUUGAUACUGGGAUUCGAUAUUGCAUGUACAGGAUAGGUGGGAGACUAGGAGGUGGUGACGCCAGUUGCCAUGGAGUCGAUGUUGGGAUACCACCCUUGCAGUACUGGGUUUCUAACCUGCGGCCGUGACCCGGCCGGGGGACAAUGUCUGGUGGGGAGGUUGACUGGGGCGGUCGCCUCCGAAAGGGUAUCGGAGGCGCUCAAAGGUUCCCUCAGAAUGGUUGGAAACCAUUCGAAGAGUGCAAAGGCAGAAGGGAGCUUGACUGCGACACCGACGGGUGGAGCAGGUACGAAAGUAGGACUUAGUGAUCCGGUGGUAUGAAAGUGGGAUUGCCAUCGCUCAACGGAUAAAAGCUACCCUGGGGAUAACAGGCUUAUCACUCCCAAGAGUUCACAUCGACGGAGUGGUUUGGCACCUCGAUGUCGGCUCAUCGCAUCCUGGGGCUGUAGUAGGUCCCAAGGGUUGGGCUGUUCGCCCAUUAAAGCGGUACGCGAGCUGGGUUCAGAACGUCGUGAGACAGUUCGGUCCCUAUCCGGCGUGGGCGUAGGAUAUCUGAGAGGAGCUGUCCUUAGUACGAGAGGACCGGGAUGGACUGACCUCUGGUGCAUCGGUUGAGCCACCAGGCUCAUGGCCGAGUAGCCAAGUCGGGACGGGAUAAACGCUGAAGGCAUCUAAGCGUGAAGCCCCCCUCAAGAUGAGAUAUCCCAUAGAGUUAAUCUAGUAAGACCCCUUGAAGACGACGAGGUAGAUAGGCAGAAGGUGGAAGUGUGGUGACAUAUGGAGCUGAUCUGUACUAAUAGGUCGAGGGCUUAACC
rnacentral:rRNA from 1 species